AAGAGUAAAUGAAUAAAAGUAGCUGCUAACUAACUUUUAAAGCGGUUAAAUUCCGUAAUAUUCUUU
rnacentral:tRNA from 1 species